rnacentral:rRNA from 1 species
GUAAAACAUCGUGCUCCUAGGAAGUGGCAAUUUGAUGAAAGUGACUGCGAUGAAGCAAUCUUGCUAGCCGAGAAGGCUUUUGAAGUUAAAUAUUGUUUGGUUAUGGUUGAUGUGGCAACCAAUUCAUUGAAUAACAGAUUUAAAGAACUCCAAUCAUUCAAAAGUAUAUUUGGAUUUUUAAUGAAUUCAACGGCCUCGAAGUUAGUGGACUGUUAUGAACUAAAAGACAAUUGCGCUAAAUUUGCAAGUUAUUUCUCUCCAGAUGAUUCAUCUAAUGUCGGGUUAAAUGAUCUAAUUUUUGAGUUAAGUGUUAUGCACUUGACUUUGCUCAAUAGACCAAUGUCUGCGAUGUGGAUUUUUGAGUUUGUCAGAGAAGCAGAUUGUUAUCCUAAUAUUUCUAUUGCCUAUCGGAUUUUAUUUACUAUGACUGACUGUAUAGCAUCAGCUGAAAGAAGCUUUUGA